GUAGGGUCCGAGCGUUGUCCGGAUUUAUUGGGCGUAAAGAGCUCGUAGGCGGUUCCGUAAGUCAGAUGUGAAAACUCAGGGCUCAACCCGGAGACGCCAUCUGAUACUGCGGUGACUGGAGUCUGGUAGGGGAACACGGAAUUCCUGGUGUAGCGGUGAAAUGCGCAGAUAUCAGGAGGAACACCGAUGGCGAAGGCAGUGUUCUGGGCCAGUACUGACGCUGAGGAGCGAAAGCGUGGGGAGCAAACAGGAUUAGAUACCCUGGUAGUCCACGCCGUAAACGUUGGGCACUAGGUGUGGGUCCUCAUCAACGGGAUCCGUGCCGUAGCUAACGCAUUAAGUGCCCCGCCUGGGGAGUACGGCCGCAAGGCUA
rnacentral:rRNA from 1 species